rnacentral:rRNA from 1 species
AGUGAACGCUGGCGGUAUGCCUAACACAUGCAAGUCGAACGGCAGCACAGUAAGAGCUUUCUCUUAUGGGUGGCGAGUGGCGGACGGGUGAGGAAUACAUCGGAAUCUAUUUUCUCGUGGGGGGUAACGUAGGGAAACUUACGCUAAUACCUCAUACGACCUACGGGUGAAAGCAGGGGAUCUUCGGACCUUGCGUGAUUGAGUGAGCCGAUGUCGGCUUAGCUAGUUGGCGGGGUGAAGGCACACCAAGGCGACGAUCCGUAGCUGGUCUGAGAGGAUGAGCAGGGACGCUGGAACUGAGACACGGUCCAGGCUCCUACGGGAGGCAGCAGUGGGGAUUGUUGGACAAUGGGCGCGAGCCUGAUCCAGCCGUACCGCGUGGGUGAAGAAGGCCUUCGGGUUGGAAAGCCCUUUUGUUGGGAAAGAAAAGCAGCCGGUUAAUACCGCACUGUUCUGACGGUACCCAAAGAAUAAGCACCGGCUAACUUCGUG